rnacentral:rRNA from 1 species
GGCGGGGACAGGCUCGGGCGGAGGCGAGGCGGUGAAGUCUCGUGGACCGUGUAUGUAGGAGAAGCCAGGGAAGAGUAGCAGCAAAGUGUGGUGAGAAUCCGCACCACCGGAGGGGCCAGGGUUCCUCGGCAAUGAUCGUCAGCCGAGGGUUAGCCGGUCCUAAGGAUAUCCUUAACCGAGAUAUUCGAAAGGGAAAUGCGUUAAUAUUCGUAUGCCUCUGUACAAUAAUGGUGACGGCUUUGGUUAGUUCGGCGGGUCAUAUAGCAGGCCCGUGAAGCGUUCAAUAAUCGAUUGGAGAACCGUAACGGUGAGAAGAUCGAGAAGGCGUGAAAGCAAUCCGAAUGAUACCGAGGUCCCGUGAAAAACCGUACAGAUGACCGUACCGAGAACUGACACAGGUGCCCCUGGGUGAGUAGCCUAAGGUGUGACGGAAAAACAACCGCGAGGGAACUCGGCAAAAUCGCCCCGUAACUUCGGGAGAAGGGGUGCCAGCCUUGAGAAAGGCUGGUCGCAGUGACUAGAGGACUCCGACUGUUUAAUAAAAACAUAGGAGACUGCCAGUCCGAAAGGAUGUGUAUAGUCUCUGAAUCCUGCUCAGUGCCGGUAUCUGAAAUGGGGGUACAACCUCACGAAGGACCGGUAAACAGCGGGGGUAACUAUGACCCUCUUAAGGUAGCGUAAUACCUUGUCGCUUAAUUGGCGACUUGCAUGAAUGGUCUAACGAGAGUCCUACUGUCCCCGCGGUUGGUCCGGCGAAAUUGACUUUACUGGCGCACAGUCCAGUACCUUCAGCCUGCAAGCGAAGACCCCGUAGAGCUUUACUGCAGCCUGUCGUUGUGUAGUGGCACUCCACGUGCUGCGUAGACGGGAGACAUCGAUCCAUCAGGCGCCAGCCUGGUGGGGAGUCAAACAGAGAGACACCGUCCUUGAAGUGCAACUACACUCACUCUUAACGAGGACACCGAUAGGUGGGCAGUUUGGGUGGGGCGCCACGCGCUCGAAAAAAUAACAAGCGUGCCCAAAGGUCAGCUUAGGUGGUUCAGUCUCCACCGCUAAAUGUAAGGGUAAAAGCUGGCUUGACGUGGAUCGGCACAAUAACGAUCGACGAUGAGAAAUCAGGGCCUAACGAACCUACUAGCCUCAUUUAUGGGGGCAGUAGAUAACAGAAAAGUUACCUCGGGGAUAAUUGAGUUGUCACCAGCAAGAGCUCACAUCGACCUGGUGGCUUGCUACUUCGAUGUCGUCUCUUCCUAUCCUGGGUGUGCAGAAGCACCCAAGGGUGGGGUUGUUCGCCCAUUAAAAGGGAUCGUGAGAUGGGUUUAGACCGUCGUGAGACAGGUUUGUUGCUUUGUGGCUGAAGCGCGUAAGAUACCUGACGGGAAGGGGCUCUUAGUACGAGAGGAACGGAGUCUCGGUGCCACUAGUCUACCAGUUGUCUGCUAAG